ACAUGAUUAUAUUUAUGAAUUUUGUAAUUUCUUUUUAAUUGCACAUUAAAAAAAUAAAAAAAAGUUUAGGUAUAUCAAAAUACCUCUCAAACUAUGAUGAAGGUGGCGAAAGUGACAAUGCCGGUGUCAAUGAUAACGAUGUGCUACGAUGUAUUGGUGCUAGCGAUGGGGACAAAUGAGAAAAGAUAUUAUUAAAAAAAUAUUUAAGAAAAAUAUAGGUGAAAAUAAAAAAGAUAUUACUAAAAAAAUAUAUAUCUCAAAAAAUAUAUUUUGUGUGUGAAUAAAUAUUAUGAUGAGAUAAGAUUGGAUAGUGUAGAUAUUAUAUGCAAAUAUAUUCUGUGCGUAAAUAAAUAUUAUGAUGAGAUAAGAUUGGAUAGUGUAGAUAUUAUAUGCAAAGAUAUGUAGAUAUUAUAUGCGAGUGCAUUAAUAUAUGCUCUAUAUUUGAGAAACACGUAAAAUAUUUUGGCGGGUAUUAUUUUUAAGUAUUUUACUAAAAAAAUUUAAAAAUUUAAAAUUAUAUUUAAUUAACAACUUAGUUUUGCUUAGGUGGUAUUAAAUCUUUCUAGCAAUAUUACAUGCGAGUGCAUUAAUAUAUACUCUGUAUCUGAAAAACGCGUAAAAUAUUUUGACGGGUAUUAUUUUUGAAUAUUUUACUAAAAAAAUUAAAAUUUUAAAAUUAUACUUAAUUAACAAUUUAGUUUUGGUUAAAUGGGUAUUAAAUCUUUCUAACAAUAUUCUACGUAAUUACGUGUGAGAAAAAAAAAUAUUUAAGAAACACUUAAAUAGGAGAUAACCGAUAUUUUAAGUUAUAGCGGAAAUUACGUUUGAGAAAACGCGUAGAUAUUUAUAAAACGCGUAAAUAGGAGAUAAUGGAUAUUGUUGGUAUUUUUUUGAAUAUUUUAUUAUUUUAAGUUAUGGCGGAAAUUACAUUUGAGAAAACGCGUAGAUAUUUAUAAAACGUGUAGAUAUGGGAUAACGGAUAUUGAAGGUAUUUUUGUCAAGAAAAGUGACAGAUACUUUUAUUUUUAAUCGUUUAAUGAGAUCCAAUGGUAAAAAUUUAAAAUCUAUAUUUGAGAAUAAAAUAUUAUUUGCAAAAUUAUUUGAAACGAAUGGUUGAAAAUUAUUGGAUAUGAAAUAUUAGUAGAAAAGAUAGAGGUAUUUUUGGAAAGCGGAAAAGAUUUAAAACUCAUACUUUUAUAAGUAGUAUAGACUAGUGAGUUAGCUAGCUAGGAAGGGAUUGCAAAUAGUUACAAAAAAAAAAAAAUAAAUAAAUAAAUAAAAAAUAAAAAAUUCAACCUAGUGAUGUCGUGUGAUCAUUCUUAUUAAGUAUGUGUGGACAUGAAUCAAGGUGGUAUAUAUAGUCUUUUCAUAGAUUGGACAAAUUUGUUCUCUUAAUUAGGACUAUUAUUUAGGCUGUGGCUAUUAUACUCAUAUGAGUAUAGAGCCCUUUAUAUUCAUAACUUUUUGACCGUUUAGAUAAAAAAUGUGCGAUUAGGAUGAGAGUGGUUAUGGUUAGGUUGAUAGUGGGCCCCCUAGGGUUGAGUGGGUGGUUGGUUGAAUAGUAUAAUCUAACGGGUGAAAAUGAUUAAAGAGUAGAUCAAACGGCCAAAAACUUAUCAGUACAAUAAGUUCUAUACUCAUAAAAGUAUAGUAGUCAGACUCCUAUUAUAUAUAUAUAUAUAU
rnacentral:lncRNA from 1 species